UGGGGAAUUUUGGACAAUGGGCGAAAGCCUGAUCCGGCAAUGCCGCGUGUGUGAAGAAGGCCUUCGGGUUGUAAAGCACUUUUGUCCGGAAAGAAAUCCUUGGCUCUAAUACAGUCGGGGGAUGACGGUACCGGAAGAAUAAGCACCGGCUAACUACGUGCCAGCAGCCGCGGUAAUACGUAGGGUGCAAGCGUUAAUCGGAAUUACUGGGCGUAAAGCGUGCGCAGGCGGUUUGCUAAGACCGAUGUGAAAUCCCCGGGCUCAACCUGGGAACUGCAUUGGUGACUGGCAGGCUAGAGUAUGGCAGAGGGGGUAGAAUUCCACGUGUAGCAGUGAAAUGCGUAGAGAUGUGGAGGAAUACCGAUGGCGAAGGCAGCCCCCUGGGCCAAGUACUGACGCUCAUGCACGAAAGCGUGGGGAGCAAACAGGAUUAGAUACCCUGGUAGUCCACGCCCUAAAACGAUGUCAACUAGUUGUUGGGGAUUCAUUUCCUUAGUAACGUAGCUAACGCGUGAAGUUGACCGCCUGGGGAGUACGGUCGCAAGAUUAAAACUCAAAGGAAUUGAC
rnacentral:rRNA from 1 species